AGUAAAGACAUCACGAUAUCUCACCGUCACGGAGGUAAAGGUGGGUAGAAAACACAAAAAGACCAAUGGAGCAUAAUUUACAACAAAUCCUUUUAUCGAUAAUAAAACCUUUACCAUUUACUUACCUCGGUGAAAUUCAUAAAACGAUAUACGAAAGCAAUAACAUCAUCAUCAUCAUGAAAACAUAUAUAUGAACUGUAUAACAUAAUACCUAUCACACUUUUCGUAAUUCAAUCGUUACACAACAUAUUUUCCUAAUUCACCAGCCCACUAGUAUCCAUGGGGAUCCAUAGGGGUCCCGCUACCCGUUAAUCCUUAACACUUGAAAUCAUAUUCCAGGGCCGUCCCCAUACCCCGUCCGGUAUGGGCGCCAAACCAUAGACCUCACUACCCCGUCCGGUAUGAGGGUGAAACGGGCCGUCCCCAUACCCCGUCCGGUAUGGGCGCCAAAACACAUAAGAUCUCCAUACCCCAUCCGAUAUGGGAGACCACAAUCCCGGUAGGGUUCCCUACGGACCCGGUCCGUCCACCAUCUCCCAGGAUAUCUAGUCAGGCUGAACACAUUAUACAAUUUCCAUUCACAUAAUCUUUCAUUCUCCUUUUUCCCUCAGUCAGCAUUAUCAAUCACAUACAAACACGCAAAACGAUAAUUUAUGCCAAACAGACAACAUACAGCAUCAAUAUCCCGGUCAUUCAAUCCAUAAUCAAUAAAACAGUAAAUUAUGCACACAAAACUAUAAAAUGAAAACAUUGAACCUCAUGCUGCAUUUAAAACUGUAAAACAGGCCAAAUAACAGUUAACCGACAAACACACUAGACUCGGGCUCCAUUAGCGACCUUAAGCAAUUUCACACAUUCGUUGAUUCACGAAAUACCGUUUUAUCAUUUAUUGGACUUUAAAACUGUGAUAGGAAAUAGGGUGAGGGGUCCUUACACGGCUUCACAAUGCGC
rnacentral:lncRNA from 1 species